UUGGUGGUACCACGUAUAGCAAAAGAUCGUGAGACAUAUUUAAAUCGAUAGAUAAAUGACAGGUGAAGGACCAGGUUCCUUGUUUGUGGCAACCUAUUGAAUGAAAUAAUCAAGCCUUUUCCUUUUUAGCAAUUAUGCAAAAAUAUGUUGUUGUUUUUUCAAGCAAAAGAAUUUUAUUCAUCUUCCAAAACACACAAUUACAGCUGGUUGAGACAGAUACACAACCCAAGUUUUCCCUUCAGGUGGAAGAUGGGAUGAUCUAUCGAUAGAUUAAUGAAGGCCAUAUAUAAAGCAAAUCACAAGCAUUUGGGGUAUAUUUGAACCCUUGUCCAUUUUAAAUAAGAUAGGGUAUGUUAUAUGGACUCCUCUAUUUCUCUCAUUUCCAAAGUGUACGCGCCAAAAUAAGCAAUCAAAUGUCUACUUGUUCAUCUGUCUGCCGUCUGAAAGGCAUCUUCGCCGGGAACGACAGAGCAAUAAAUCAUCCCAUUACUUCUUCAAGACCCACCGAUCGAGCCCAAGCAAUUGUGGACUCUUUCAAAAAAUCAUCGGAAUGCCCCAAAUUCCGACAGAAACGCUUCCAAUAUGUAAAUGCCAUUCGCCAACUUACCGAAGGCAAACACUUCUCCGGCAUUAUAGAUAUCAUCGAACAUAAAAAAAAAACUAUGCUGAUAUUCGUAAUGAAGGCUUUGUUGUCCGUCUUACUACUCUCUAUGGGCAAGCGAAAAUGGAUCAUCAUGCACGUAAGCUGUUCGACGAAAUGCCUCAACUAAAUUGUCCGCGCACUUUCUUUUUCAAUGCCCUUCUGGAAGCAUAUUUUAAGUCAGAGAAAUAUGAUAAAAUUCACAGCUUGUUUCACGAAUUGCCCCCGAAAUUGUCAAUUAAGCCUGAUCUGGUGUCGUAUAACACUGGGAUUAAGGCAUUGUGCAGGGCUGGUUUGCUGGAUUCUUCUGUGUAUUUGAGGAUGAGAUUGAAAAUCAUGGGAUUAAACCGAAUGUUGUCACUUGUAACACAUUAUUAAACGCAUUUCAUGAAAGUAAAAGGUUUUCUGAAGCUGAAAGUUUGUGGCUUAUGAUGGAAAAGAGAAAUAUUAUCCCUGAUCUUUGCAGUUACAUUAUUAAAUUAAUUAGUUUGGUUAAAGCUAACGAGGUUUCAAAGGCGAUUCAGUUCUUCAAUGAGAUUGUUAACAAGGGUUUCAAACCGGACACCUUCAGUUACAGUGCUGUGAUAAAAAUGUAUAUUACUGAGGGGAAUCUGGAGGAGGUCAACAUGUGGUAUGAGAAGAUGACGCAAAAUGGAUGUCUUCCAGAUAAUUCAACUUUUACGAUGCUUAUUAUUUUUUCUUGUAGCGCCAAAAAAAAUGAUUUUUCUCUGCAUUUGUGCAAGAAAGCAAUGAAGUCACGCAAAGCUAUUUGUAAUAGAACAAUGCAGAUGGUUGUCGAUGGUUUGGUUGAGCAUUCUAAGAUUGAAAAUGCGAGAAAGCUGGUUAAGUUGGCCGAGUCUUAUAAUUGGUUCCGGUACGAGCUUUCCUUGCCUUUGCAUAACUAGAUCUUUCAGCUAUGUUUUAGUCUUUUGAUUUGAUCAUUUACUCGAGCUUGACAAGCUUGAUCUUGCCUUGAGCUGAAGUGAUGAAAGGGUUGAGGAAAUUGGUGGAGCAGUACGCGGAGAAGAAGGUAUCACAAUAUGUGAAGGGGAGUCUUGACGCAUCGAUAAAACAUUUGGCUAGUUACUAUUGUUGACUAGUAAAUUUUUAUAAAAUUAUGUAUUUAUGAAAGUUUGUAAUAACAUGUAAUUACAAUCAUUUAUUUAUAAAAUGAAAAUGGAGAUAUAUGAUUUUUCAGUA